AAUUUAUAUAGUUUAAAUAAAACAUCAUAUUUUCAUUAUGAAAUUAGAUUAUUUCUUAUAAAUUA
rnacentral:tRNA from 1 species